AUGAAUGUUUAUGCUGGGCUGUUCCUGCUCUGCCUUCCACAGAAGGCUGCAAGCUCUUCCAGGACAGUUCAAAUGCACCUUGCUCAGCAGGCUGGUCUGGUCUGGUCACCCAUCUGUGGCUGGGAUCACUCACAUCUGUGGAACAACUGUCCACAUCCUCCUGUGAAUGAGGUGGUAUGUGACUGGUAACCUUCCUAGAUGUCUGGUUAAGAAACGUGUUUUCAUCUGUGAUCUAUGGUGCAGCAAGGAAAAAACAAAUGGUCUCACAUCUAAGGAACGGUGAAACCCUCUGACCAUAACAGUAAUGUAACUGGUUUUCAAAAAUUCGGGAAA
rnacentral:lncRNA from 1 species